rnacentral:rRNA from 1 species
CAGGCCUAACACAUGCAAGUCGAACGGGGCUCUUUGGAUCGAGACUUCGGUCAAGUGAAUUUGAGCUUAGUGGCGGACGGGUGAGUAACGCGUGAGCAACCUGCCUUUCAGAGGGGGACAACAGUUGGAAACGACUGCUAAUACCGCAUAAUGUGUUUUGGGGGCAUCCCCGNNACACCAAAGAUUUAUCGCUGAAAGAUGGGCUCGCGUCUGAUUAGCUAGUUGGUGGGGUAACGGCCUACC